ensembl:processed_transcript
ACAAGAAGGAGCAGUUUUGCCUUAUUCCUUACUCUGAGUACGGCGAGCACGCCUCCGGGGCGUAGGAGCUGCAGACAGCGCUCGUAGUAGGCGGUACAGUUCUCUUUGUCCGCGUCCACCACCGCUAUGUCGAAGGUUCCGGCCUCGCCCGCCGCCAGGAGCUCAUCUUACAGGGACAGAGGGCAGGUGCAGCUGAGCUAGGGUCUCAGCGGGCCAGAAGCCCCUGCCCAUAGCGGGCGACUCAGGGUCGCCAGUUUUGUUCCCCGGGGUUGGACAGUGCUGUCUGGCCCCUCCCGCGCCGGUGCUCACCCAAUGUCUGCAGGGCGGGCUGCAGCCGAAGGUCGAUCUUCUGCUCCACUUCUGCCUGCGGAACGAGGCCGGUCAGGCCGGCACGCCCCCGAGCCGGAGCCCGAACGGCCGCAGGUGUGGGGCUCUCACCUGCUUCCACAGGGGCCGUCCCAGCUUCGGGGGCUCUGCGUCAACCUCGCAGGUCACCACGCGGCCAGCCUCCGGAAGCGCCAAGGCUAGGGCCAGGGCCGAGUAGCCCGUGAAAGUACCUGUGGACCGGGACACUCGCAAGCUCAGUUCAGGGUGCAGGGCUGCCCUGUGACCCUGGUUUCCAGAGACCAUGGCUGCGCGUUCCUACCCAGAUCCAGAGCUUUCUUGGCCUUAAUGAGCCGCGCCAGGUUGGCCAGAAGCUGGGCCUGUUCACAGGUCAUCAUGGAAUCCCCCUGCGGCUGCUCCAGGGUCAGCUGUGUGUGGGGAGAGGGUGGUGCCAUUCAUGCCAGUCACUCCCCGGUCCCCCUCUCAGGUUUUGAAUCAUUCAGGGGAUCGGUGGCGGGUGUGGCCUAGAGGGGACAGGUCUCAGGGAACCCGGAAGCCCUGAGAGGGGUUCUGCCUAGCUCAAGGUCACAUAGCCAUGUGAGGUCCACCACGCUGGAAGUGGGGAACCCGUUCUCGGUCCCAGUCCUACUGACCAGUCGCAGGCUCCGCAGCGCCGGGUGCUCCCUCAUGGAGCGACUCAGCAGAUACUGCCACAGGGGAUUGUCCUCAGGUGGCAGCAGGCGCUCUGGCCGCCUGGACCCCCAUGGAGGCCAUCGUUUCCCUGCCGGGGAGAGGGUGCCGGGUCAGGGCCUGCAGUUCUGACCGGGUUCUCCGGCUCUGCUCCGCGCCCUCCUCCCAUUCCCGGGACUGCAGCAGCCCAGCCCAGCUCACCCAGCAAGAGACCAGUAGCGAAGGCGGCGCCCAGCGCGGCCGAGCCCAGGGCCAGUGCGGCGGGGAUAGAUAGCCGAGGGACGGGCUGAGCCAUGGUGCAGGUUAGCAGCGGCGGCGGCGAUCACGUGUGCUGGAGUAGCGAGGAUGGGACUGGGACCAGUAAGCCGACCGGGCUCCACCUCGUCCGGGCCCUGCCCACAGAGCCGCGGCCUCGGGCACCAUCUGGUGACACAUGACCGUAUUGCAAGGUCGGGCUGAGUACAUCUUGCCACCCGGUGGCUGCAUGCGGAACUGCGUCGGGUGAAAUCCUUAUUAGACCUCGCUCACAAGCGACUCUGCUGACCUGCCCUCAGGGACCUAGCAAUUGCUUAAGGCAUCACCUGCCCCGCCCCCCCAGAUACUACAGGUAAGGCCCGGAAAAAGGUGAGUGCUUUUAGGGCUGAGCACACAGCAGGCACUAAAUGUGUGCUGGCCGGGCCACACUGCGGCCAGUGGUAACAACAUGACAAUUGGAAGCCUUUACUUAGCACCUACUGGGUGCCAGGUGCUCUACACCCAGCGUCCCUUGAAGCAGCGGUGUUGUAUCCGUUUUCAAGAGAAGGAAAGUCCUGAAUUGAUCAUCCCUCCAAAGCUCACUGCCUAGCGGCCUUGCCCUCCUAAAUUUCCACAGUCUUUAUCAGUACCUCCCUGGGAUGCACACAGCGGGAAGAGGCAGCCUUGUCCCUCUUCAGCAGGCGUGUGGCAUUGAGUCCCUGUCCUUAGCCGGAGCCCUCUGCCCCAUAUCUGGGGAUCGGGGUGGUCUGCAAGUUCUCAGUGCAUCCGACAGCCUUCCUCCCCCAACCUGGCUCCAGGCAGGAUUGGUGGCGGUGGGGGAAGCGGGCGAGGAGGGAGCCGUGUCACCAUAUAUCCCAGUCAGAUUAAAAAACUAAUUUG